rnacentral:rRNA from 1 species
UACGGAGGUGGCAAGCGUUGCUCGGAAUCACUGGGCGUAAAGGGCGCGUAGGCGGGGAGGUAAGUCGGGUGUGAAAUCCCUCGGCCCAACCGAGGAACUGCGCCCGAGACUGCUUCUCUUGAGUCCCGGAGAGGAAGAUGGAAUUCCCGGUGUAGCGGUGAGAUGUGUAGAGAUCGGGAGGAACACCGGUGGCGAAGGCGGUCUUCUGGACGGUGUCUGACGCUGAGGCGCGAAAGCGUGGGGAGCAAACGGG